rnacentral:rRNA from 1 species
UACGGAAAGGCAGCAGUGGGGAAUAUUGCACAAUGGGCGAAAGCCUGAUGCAGCUAUGCCGCGUGUAUGAAGAAGGCCUUAGGGUUGUAAAGUACUUUCAUCGGGGAGGAAAAACAAAACUAAUAAUUUUAUUUCUUGACGUUACCCGAAAAAGAAGCACCGGCUAACUCCGUGCCAGCAGCCGCGGUAAUACGGAGGGUGCUAGCGUUAAUCAGAAUUACUGGGCGUAAAGAGCACGUAGGUGGUUUUUUUAAGUCAGAUGUGAAAUCCCUGGGCUUAACCUAGGAACUGCAUUUUGAAACUGAAAUACUAGAGUAUCGUAGAGGGAGGUAGAAUUCUAGGUGUAGCGGUGAAAUGCGUAGAUAUCUGGAGGAAUACCUGUGGCGAAAGCGGCCUCCUAAACGAAUACUGACACUGAGGUGCGAAAGCGUGGGGAGCAAACAGGGAUUAGAUACC